AAAAAGAAUUCUCAGUCUAACCCUGUGAAGUAAAAUCCAUUGUUACAAAGAUCAGCUAUUAUAAUGACCAAUUUUUAAAUUUAAAUUUUUAAUAAAAAUUAUGUUUUGUUUUAGGAUGGUAUCGGCAGUGCAAUAUUAUUCCUUAUAGCAAAGAUGUUGACCUAGGGAUUUUUAUACAAGAUUACAAAUCUGAUAUUAUUAUAGCAUUUCAGGAUGCAGGACUUCCACUCAAACACAAGUUUGGGAAGGUCAGUAACAAAACUUGUCUUUAUUUUAUAAGUGACAUAUCUCAAUGAUAGAGUUGAUAGUAUGUAACUCAGACAUAAUUUUUUUUUUGUUUUAAUAUCAAUAGUUUAUUUUGGCAAGUGUUGCUGGUAUAGAUGUAGCAAAUUUUUUUAAAAAAUAAGUGAGUUGAGUAAAAUAUUUUAAAUAUAAUUGGGGGUCCAGUUCUGAGUAGAUCACUACAUUUGCCUAAGAAAACUGCUCAAUAUGAAAAAAAAUGGAACACUGCACAAUUUGUGUGUCAUCAUUGCACAGGGACAUGCUAAUCUUCUUUGCAUUGUUCCAAUUUUAGUAUACGUGUUGCUGGAGCUAGCAGUGCUUAUAUAAUUUUGUCACUCCGUAUCAAUGGAUUCAAUGGAUGUUUGUUACCACUUGUGAUUUCUGCACGAUUUAAUGAAAAGCUUGGAAAAUCUGGCUUUUAAUCUAUCAGAGAGGAAAGAAGGAUCUUGGACUCUUGUAAAUGAAUUUAUUGUUACUUUAUUAGGCAAUAAUAAAAACUUAAUGUAAAAAGUAAUCCCAUCCACUUUAUCUGAAGUUAUAUUGUUUCUCAUUAGUCAUUUAAUUUUAUGUUUAUCUCUGAAUUAAUGUCAUUAUAAUUAUCAACACAAAACAUUUCACUGAUUGCUAGGGGGUAGAAAUUUAGAAUCAUUUUAAAGAAGUACUUCAAUUUCUUGUUUAUCUCACAUGUCUUAAGUUAUAGCAGUUUCCUCAGAGGUCUAUUUCUCAGGGAUAGGAUAUUAUGGUGAAGAUAAAAUGUUACUCCAGACAAUUUGAUUUCUAUGCUCCUAAGCCCAUGACCCUUUGUGAUCAUCUUGCUCUUAAUUUGCCUGUCCCAGGGGAAGUAUUAUCCUGUAAAGCAAGUAGAAAUAUAUUUAGUCUCUGGAAAAUUAUUUCUUUCAUCAAAAAUAAUCAUCCUAUUUUUCUAAAAAGGUUUAAUCAAAUAUUUUCCUGAGGUCUAAGUCAAAGCAAUAGAGCUUUUGUCAUUUAACAUUUACUGAACAUUCACCAUGUCUGGUACUGUUCUCUGCACCUGGAACACGAAGAUGAAUAAAUUACAGUUCUUAUCUUUGAGAAGCUCACUGAUUUGGAGGGUGGAGGGGACACAAAUUUUUAUGUCACUACUAAUGAAAUAGACAGCUAUACCAAAUCUGAUGGACACAUAAUUAUUUAUAGGAUAAGUACUUUAAGGAAAUCCUCUCAAUUUUUUUUCUGUACCUUAAUUUUUUAUUUAUUCUUUUAUCAUGUAUAUAAUGUAAUGAUCUGUGCUAGUAUGUGGUUAUAUGAAAUGCUGCUUUACUUACUUAUCGAUUGAUUAUGAUGAGAGACUUAUUUCCUGAUUGUUUUUCUUGGUUAUUAAGGAAGUAAUUUUUCUUUGGAUCCUUUCCUUCUUUAGUCAGAAAGGGACUCUGGAGCAGAAUGUUUCCAUUUUCUCUGCAGUGAUAAUUUUAACUACCAUAAGUCAUUUACUCUGAGUUGUCAUCUGUUGUAAGAAACAUUAUUUUUAUGUGCAUUUAAGAAAUUAAACAUUACUACUGAUACAUCCUAAUUUCAGAGGUGCUACAACUUGAAAAAAACAUGUAUCUUAAAAUUAAUGCUCUGUAUAUAUAAAAGAUAAGAAUCCUUUUAUUUUUCUAAAUUUUUUUUUAAAUGUAUUGCCAUUAUUUCAAUCUAUGAAAGUUUUCAUCUUCACCCUAGGUGGAAGACAGCUUGGAACUAUCCUUCCAGGGAAAAGAUGAUGUAAAACUUGACAUUUUUUUCUUCUAUGAAGAGACUGACCAUAUGUGGAAUGGAGGCACUCAGGCCAAAUCAGGAAAAAAAUUUAAGUACGAAUCAGAUAAGUAUUUAUUAAAAGUGGCUAUAGAAGUAAUUUCAGAAAGAAAAAAAUAGGGGAGGGCUAGGGCUAUAGCUCAGUGGUAGAGUGCCAGCCUCGCGUAUAUGAGGCACUGGGUUUGAUCCUCAGCACCACAUAAAAAUAAAUAAGUAUAUAGUGUCCACCUACAACUAAAAAAAAAAAUAGUUUUGAGGCUGAGAUUGUGGCUCAGCGGUAGAGCGCUCACUUAGCAUGGGCAGGACCCGGGUUCGAUCCUCAGCACCACACGAAAAUAAAGGCAUUGUGUUGUGUCCAUCUACACUUAAAAAAAUAAAUAUUUAAAAAGAAUAAUUUUUAAAAAACAGGGGAAUAACUGAAAGAAAAAGAACCCACAUUUGUCAAGACUCCAUUAUUUAGUUUAUGCUUUCUUAGCUUACCCGUAGAGUCUAGUUAUACCCGUGAAGGGAGAACCUCCUAAAAGGACAGUCUGGGAGGAGGAAAUAUUCCUAGGUUUAUCAAUUGAAGGAGUCAUGAUCAAAACUCUGAAGUCAUCAAAAAGAGAAUAUCAAAGCAAGGAACACAAAAAUCAAGCUCAGAGAAUAAAGUAAAAAACACUGCCCAUCACAGUUAUAGGAGUCUGAUAAUUAUAUAGGAAUGGGUUAGGGUUGGUAAGGAGAUAGUCAUGGUGAAAUGAAGUUUAAAUGAAGUUUAAAUGAGUGCUGGGCAAGCUUUAGAAAUGUGCCUGUAAUAUAGAAAUAAAGAAUAUACUUUGGCCAUAACAGCUACCAUAGUUUAUCAAUGAAUGAUGUAACAGUAUUUUACAUGUGACUAAUAAAGGGAAAACACUGUUAUAUGACACAUGAUUCACAGAUUGGGAAGAGAGGUGUUCAGAAUUGAUGAAAUUUAGUAUGUUAGAUUGGUAUCAUUAAUACUUAAAUUUUUUAAAAUGCUGACCUACUCAGACUCUUAUAUUGGAUAAGACAAAAAUGACAUUAGAGUACCUGCUCUCUUCUGUAAUGCACACCAUCCACGGAGUGGGGUAGAAUGGAAAGAGAGAGUGAGCAAGAGCACACCAGCCCAAAGAGCAUAGGCUUGGGUCAGGCAACCCUGAGAAAUUUCAUCUCCACCCUAACUUUGACAAUUCAACUUCUCUGAACAUGAAGUGCCUCAUCUAUUAAAUUUAGGUAAGAACUACUGUAUCAGCACUGUUCUGAACACUGCUAUAGCACUGUUUCAGGCACAACCCAACCUGAGGAUCUGUGAGGCUCUGAGAACUUGAGUGUUAUUUGUUCAAGUAAAUGAAGCAGUCAGACAGCAGUCUGUAUCUAGAGUUCAGACUUUUAACCACUAUUCACAAUAUCCCGUACAUAACUUAGUGCUUAGUACUUAGUAAGUUAGCAGCAUUUAGGGACUUAUUGAUAUUGUUAUCUAGUAUUAUUAAUUUUAUGAUUACAAUGUGAUCACUAUCAUUAGUGCCAUUAUCAUGGUAGUCACGUGACCCAGUGGCAUAAAUUUACCUCACCAACUACCUGAGAUUGGGGCUUCUAUUAGUUAAUAUAUUUGAGCCAUUGAACAUAAAGGAGAAUUCUAUAAAUAGGAAGGAUUUCCAGACUCAUCCUGAUUUCUUCUAAGUACAUUGACCCACCCUCCUGGGAUCCCUGAAUUUUUAUCUGAAGGCAAGGAGUCUUUAUGUAAGAUUGAACUUGUUCUGAAAGUUUGAGAGUAGUUCAAACCUUUUUUCAGAGUCAUAAAGCAUCCCCAAACUGAUGCUGAUCCUAGAGCACAUUCUUGAAGCUUUUAUUAUAGUUUUUCUUUUCUUUCUAAAUGACAACAAACUCCUUUUUGCUGGGUAAACUCUGAUUCAAAGAAUUAGAAAUUAGUAAAUUAAUGAAUCAGAAAUUAGUAAAUUAAUAAAACAGAAAUUAGUAAAUUAAUAAGUAUAUAUUUGACUGUCAUUGCGGCUAAAUGAACAUGAGGGUUAAAUGUUUUAGACAUUCAACUAUAGUUUGCUUAAAAUAUGAAAGAGAUGCCAAUUUUAAUAUAUAAUUAGGGGGUUUUUGAAAAAUUUGUUUUAAAGUAUAACAAUAAAAAAUAGUGCAUGGAGCCAGUGUGCUUGCUUUAGAAUCCCAGCACUACAUUUAACCAACUACAUUACUUUGGGCAAGUUUUUUCAUCUUUUUCCAGAGUUUUCCCAACUGUAAAAUGGAAAUAAUAUGAUAAAUUGCCACAUAAAGUGAUUUUAAGGAUUAAAACAGGUAAUUUUUAAAAAAGAAAGCUAUGAAGAAUGACAAGAUGCGUGGAGUAACCAGGCUUUGUGGCACACAUUUGUAAUUCCAGUAGCCAAAAGGCUGAGGCAGGAGGAUGGCAAGUUCAAGGCCAACCUCAGUAAUUUAGUAAGGCCAUAAACAACUUUGUGAGAUCCUGUCUCAAAAUAAAAAAUAAGAAGGGCUGGGGGUGUGACUCAGCCCUCUAGGGUUCAAUAACCAGUAUCAAAGAAAAAAAAAUGUCAUGAAUGCUAAGUAAUUGUUACCUGUAUUAUUAUUAGUAGUACUAGUGGUAGUAAACUAUUCCUCCUCUUAGUCUUAUGAGAAAUGUACAGAUUAGAGAUCUGUGUAAUUAUCUCAGUAUGAAAGUGCCACAUCUGUUCUUAAAGAACUCAUACAAGAGUGCCACCCUUUUUUUAAAGAAAGAUAAUUUCUAGAGCUAGUAUUAGAGUCCUUUUGUUCUUAAAUUUCCUUCUAAGGGGUGAAUUUUUCUUCUUACUGACAUGAUAUGAAACUCACAAACCUCAAAAGAACUGUUCAUUUCCAACCACUACAUUUCUGGAUAGAAAAAGCUUCUUUCAUUCUGCUUCAACUGCUCUUUAUAGUAGCAGUGUUUGGGAAGUGUGAAGUGUUCUGACUAUUUAACAAGAGAAAUGAGCAGUGAUAGAACUGUCUGGACAGAUGGUGUGAGUCCCAGAUUUUCUAUCACGUUACUGUGACCUUAAAAGACAGAGAAAAGAACAGGAGAUGGCUGUGUGAAAUAGUUUCUUUGGAAGAUUCCCCUAGCCAUAUGCCAUUUUCAUUCUUUUCGGCACUGUUUACUUUAAGGAAAUCUAUUUUUAACACUACCAUUCCUAGGGGGGAAGAACCCAAACCUUUAAAACUAAUGUAAGGGUCUUUUUAUCUUUUAUAAUACUCUAUUUUUUAUUCAUGUGUAGUUCAUGCUGAGAAACAUAAUAGAAAGUGUGCCAUUUUUUAAGAGACUGAAAGGAACUCUGGAGAGAAAGAUUCUCUUCUUUCUAAACUUUACUCUGCUUGCCUACAGAAAAAUGUCUUGGUCAUAAGAUUGAAUAAUAAUUUGAAUAUUAACAGCAAAAAUAAAGAUACAGCUAGCAGGGUAUCUGUUAGAUAUAAGGCACUAUGAUAGGUACUUUAUGUAUUUAAUUUUAGAUAAUCCUUAUAUUGUCACAGUGGGCUAGGUAUUUUCACCAGUUGUUAGACAUGAGGAAACUACAGCUCAGAGAAGUAAAGUAAUUUUAUUCAAGAUCAUUGGCCAUGAAUGUCAGAGCCAAAAUUUAACCUCAGACGUGUUCAACUUGAGCCUAAAUGUUUUCUGCUAAGAGUUAAAAGGGUAAGUGAGUUAAUGUAACUCAUUUAGAACAGUGCCUGCCACAUUAUAAGUACCAUGUCAGAAUUAGCUACUGCCACUACUAUCAUUACUAUGUGGCUAUUACUACUGCUAUGCUGUAUAGGCACAAAGCAUAGCACUUAAACACAGCACUGACUUAGUUUUCUAUUCUCUGGGCAAGCAUUUUCUUACAGGUAUCAUAACACUCAUUCUGUUCACUCUUUUUAACUCCUGAACAUAAAGUCAUCUUUUAUCAAAUAUUCAAAUUCCAAAUUUUGUUUUUAACUAUUGUCUUCAUUUUUUUAAAAAAAAUAUUUUUUAGUUAUACAUGAGCACAAUAUCUUUAUUAUUUUGUUUAUUUGUUUUUAUAUGGUAUUGAGGAUCGAACCCAGUGUCUUACAUAUGUGAGGCAAGCGCUGUCACUGAGCCACAACCCCAGCCCUUCAUUUUUUGUAUCUAUUUGUCUUCUUGAGAAUUUAGAUCACUAGUAAUAAAAAAUGGUGAAUAUAAAACUGUGCCUCCAGAAUGUGAAGUUUCUAUUCCAUAACUUUACAGUUACAGUUCCUGGUUAGGUUUCUUUGGGUUAUUUCUUACCUAUCCAUCUAAAUCAGCUGGUGUGAAUUUUAGAGGUAAUCAUAAUAGUUAACUUUUAUUUUAUUUUAUUUUUGGUAGUGCUGGGGAUCAAACAGGGCCUUGAGCACAUGCUGGGCAAAUGCUUUACCACUGAGCGCUAUCCCCAACCCAAUAGUUAACUUUUAUUGAAUUCUUACUAUAUGCUAGACACUACCACACUUUUAUGUGCAUCAUCUUGUUUAACCCUUAAAAUAGACUUAUAAGGGAGAGUUUAAUAUUGUUUUCUUUAAUUAAUGAAUGAGGAAUCUAGUUAGAGCUAAGACUCAGACCUAGGUCAAUAUCACUGUAGAGCCCAUGUCCUUACUAUAAGCCCAUGUCCUUAAUACUAAUCUUUUUAGUAUUAUGAAUAAUUCUUCCAUGAAAACAUAGUUGCAGUAAUACAGCUACUGCUGCAUCCUCAAAUAGGAAAUUUUCCAUCCCUAGGCUGUGAGUGGUUCCUUAUAUCUUCUUUUUUUUUUUCCUUAUAUCUUCUUAUAUUUUUAUAUUUUCAGUUUCUGCUUAUUGGAUAGAUCUUCAGAAAAUUUGGAUUCAUACUUGGAGAACUACAUUCAUAUCCGAGUGUGACUCCUUUGUAAUUUAUUACUUCAUUUCUAUAAAAUUUAUUUCUAUCUAGUCUAUUUUCAGGAUACUAAUGUGAAUAUAACUUAGUUUCUGCUCUCAAGGAUCUCGUAAUCUAGACCAUAAAACAAUAUAACAUUAAAGUACUUUAUGUCAGCAGUAGAGUAAUUGAACUAUGUGCAAUCUAUAGUUGAGGUGCCAGAUCAACCCUAUCUAGAAACAACUGCAAGGAAGUGUAAUUUCAAAACAGGUUGGUUAGGCAGACUUAAGAGGAGUAUGGAGAAAGUCCUAAUAAUAGGUUUAGUUAACUAUUUUUUUCUAUUCUGAUUGUUCCUUUUUUUAAAUUUAAGAAAGUCUGAUAGUAUAUCUUUGCAUAAAAUAAAAGCUUUUUUAGGGAUUUUUACAUACACACAGGAAUGUUAUUGAACCAUUUAAAAAAAAAAAAGAAUGAAAUCCUAUAAUUUGUAGCAAAAAUAGAUGUAACUAGAGGACAUUGUUAAGUAAGCCAGACCAAAAAAGAUAAGUACCGCAUGUUCUCUCUUACGUGGAAGUUUUAAAAAGUUGACUUGAGUGUAGAAUACUGAUAAUUAUCAUUUGGAAAGAGGUGAGGGAUAAAGAGAGACUACAUUUGAUCAGUGCUCAUCAUAUAUAUGUGUUGAACUAUCAUUCCAUUAAUAUGUACAAUUAAUACAUUAAUAAAAAUAAAUAAAAGGAAAUAAGGUCAAAUUGUCUUUAUUUGGCCAUAUCAUCAUACAUAGAAAUUUUAUAGCUUUGCCAUUGAGGUCAUCAGCGAUUAUAUAUCACAUUUAUUAUUUACCCCAAGCUAAACUCCAUGCUCAGUAAAUAUGUUAAAUGAAUUAAUGAAUGAAUGGAUGUGUGGAUUAAUUGAUAUUUACUGAUUCUGAAAAAAAGUGAGCCUUUUAGAGCUUUGAUUCAUUGCCAGAUUGCCUUUCUAAAAAAUGAUACAAAUUUUUGUGUAAUCAGCAUGAAUGAAUGAGAGUGCAAACUUUACUACAUGUUACUGAGUUUUGCAAUUUAAUUAUAGUCCUUCAUGACUCCCCUGAUAGUUCCUUUAAGUAACUUUUUUUCACUUUUUCUCAUUAAUCUAAUAUAUCUUUGAAGCAUCAUAAAAAUGGAUCAGCCAUCCAUGGCAAGUUACUAACAGUUAUUACCUUUCUGUUAACUUUUCCAAACAUCUAUUGGCUUUUAGUGGUGCAAAGCACAUCUUUUUCCCAACCUUUCAGUUGCAUUUUCAAAAUUUAUCUAUAAAAUAUUACAAUAUAUCUGAAUAUUUCAUUUUGAUUAUUUGUUAGGCACUUUUUAUUUAGAGACUUCUAUAUCUAAAAUAUACAUGUGUGAUUUUAGUUGAGUGAGCUUCAGGUUUCUCCAUAACAUGAAGAUAACACUGCAUACCUCAUGGCAUGUAAUGCUUAUAUUGAAUAAUAUUGUGAAAUUACCUGAUUCAGUGCUUGACACAUAAUAGAUUCUCAGUUGUCCACUGAUUCUGAGUUAAGCAGGCAGAACCUCGAAGUCCAGUUAGGGAGGUUCAUUGCCAUGUAAUAAUUAGAAAAAAAUAUCACAAAUAGUGAAUUAAAGCCUACCAGAUGUAACAAAGAUGAAUACAAACUUAUACUACAUAAUUGCAGAGAGACAGUUUGUAAGAAUAAAACAAGUACAGAGAAUGCUGAGGUAAGGGUAGAGGCAGCACAAUUUGAAUAUUGCUAUUAAAUUAGAUUGAGUUGGCUCUAAGGAAGGAGAUUUAAUCUGAGUGUAGAAAGAUGAUAUUGAGCAAUAUUGGUGAAGCAGUUAAUUGACAGAAAGACUUAAUAUUUGACUGCAGAGUCUUUUAUUUAAUGUAAUAAACAAUAGAAUCUCUUAGGGCUUUAGGUGGGGAAUGUAAUAAGAUACAAGCCCUGUUGAGGAAUACUGUUAUAGCUAAUAUGUGUAGGCAUGAAGAAGUGAAAGAGACUGUUAGUACAGAAACCUACAGAAAAAGCUGGUAUAGUAAGCUAGACUUAGGUGUAUGAGAACCUAUGCUAAACAGGAGGUAAUUGGGAAAAGUAGUAAAAUGAAACUAAACAAACAAACAAACCCUCCAUGCCUGGCUAUGAACAAGGGAGUCCUCAAUCUGAAUGGGAAUUCAAGAACUCUUAAGGAUUCAAAGUAAAACAUAAGUUUAUAGUCUAGAGAAGAUUAGGAAAUAGAAAAUAAUCAUUAAUAUUUUAAUUGAAGUGUAACACAUACACACAAAGGUACACAUACAGAAAGUGUUUAGCUCCAAAAAUCAUCCAGUAAACAAUCAUGUAGAUAGAAUCUCAGUCAAAAAAUAGAUAUUUGGAGCCUGGUGAGGUGGCGCAGGCCUGUAAUCCCAGCAGUUCAGGAGGCUGAGACAGAAGGAUUGCGAGUUCAAAGCCAGCCUCAGCAAAGUUAAGGUGCUAAGCAAGUAAGACCUUGUCUCUAAAUAAAAUACAAAAUAGGGGCUGGGGAUAUGGCUCAGUGGUCAAGUGCCCCUGAGUUCAAUACCCUGUACCCACCUCCCUGCAAAAAAAAAAUGAUAUUUGGACCUGGUGUGGUGGUGCACUCCUAUAAUCCCAGGAGGAUCACAAGUUUGUGAUUCUAGACAACUUAGCAAGAUCACAUCUCAAAAUACAAAAGGCUGAUGUUGUGGUUUAAAAAUAGAGUGUUUGCCUAACAUGUACAAGGCCAUGGGUUCAAUCCGUGGUAUGACAAAAAAACAAUAUUUACCAGCAUCCCAGAGGCCUAUAUAUUUGCCCUCACAAUCAACUCCUUUUUCCCACAAAGAUACAACUGUCCUGUCUUCUAAUAUUAGUUUAGUUAUACCUGGUUUUUCAUUUUGCAGAAAUAGAAUCGUGUUCCUCAUCUUUUUUUUUUUUUUUUUUUUGUGUGUGUGUGUGUGUGUGUGGUGCUGGGGAUUGAACCCAGAGCCUUGUGCGUGCCAGGCAAGCACCCUACCAACUGAGCUAUAUCCCCAGCCCCUGAUAUCUUUUCACUGAACAUUAUGUUUGUGAGACUCAUUCAUGUUGUUGCUAUUGUUCAUUUUCUUUGCUGUAUGUGUUUGUACUACAAGUAUUUAUUAAGUCCACUGUAGUUGGCUACUGGGGUUGUUUUCAGCUUGGGGCUAUUUUAGAUGAUGCUGUAGUAAACAUUCUACACAGUACCCUUGUUCAUGUUUAUCUUAAUCCAUUAAAAUACAAUAAACUGGGUGGCUUUUAACAAGAAAUUUAUUUCCCACAGUUCUGGAGGCUUGAUGUACAAGAUCAAGUGCCAGCAUGAUUGGGCUCUGGUGAGAUCUUUUGGUGCUUGCAGACUGUCAGCUUCUCCCUCUGUCGUUAUAUGGUGGGAGGAGCAAGCAGAAUUCCUCAGGCCUCUUUUAUAAGGAUACUAAUCCCAUUCAUGACCCACUCACCUCCUAAAGUCCCCACCUCUUAGUACCAUUGCCUUGGAGGGUUAUGAUUUCAAUGUGAGAAUUUUGAGGGGACAGAAACAUUCAGACCAUAGAAGUAGUGUGGGAUAUAGCAAUACAGAAAGUGUGGGAUAGCUUCCUCAUAGGAAAUACAAAUAUUCAUUCUUUUGUUUACAAAUAGUUUUCAAAUGUUGGUUGUACAAAUUUACACUUCAUAGGACUUUCAUUGAUUCACUUUCUUGCCAACACUUGGCAUUGUGAGACUUUUUAAUUUUAUUCAUUUUGGAGGAUGUGUAGUGUUACCAUGUUGUAGUUUUAAUUUCCAUUUCCUGAAUGAGUUGGUGAGGGCCACCACUCUUUCAUUUUUAUAGAUCAUUUAUUUGCUCUUUUUUGUGAGGUACCUAUUAAAUGUUUUAUCAGUAUUUUAUUUGAGUUGUCAGUCUUUUUCUUACUGUUUGUGGCUUAAAUUAUACUGAAAAUAGCUUCUCAAUUUGUUCUUUUUUUCUUUUCACUUUCUUAGUGGUAACUUUUGUUCAAUGAAAGUUCUUAAUUUGGGGCUGGGGAUGUGGCUCAAGCGGUAGUGCUCUCGCCUGGCAUGCGUGCGGCCCAUGUUCGAUCCUCAUCACCACAUACAAACAAAGAUGUUGUGUCUGCCGAAAACUAAGAAAAAUAAACAUUAAAAUUCUCUCUCUCUCUUCCUCUCUCUCUGUCUCUCUCUUUUUUUAAAAAAAAAAAGUUCUUAAUUUUAAUGUAGUUCAAUGUAUUAUAGUUGAUAUUUCUUAUGUCCUUUUUAUGUGAUAUGAAGUAAAGAUCAAGUUAAGGCCAGGCGCCAUGGCACAUGGAUAUAGUUCCAGUACAUUGGGAAGCUGAAGUAGGAUUGCAAGUUCAAAGCCAGCCUCACCAAUUUAAUGAGACCCUGUUUCAAAAUUUAAAAAAAAUUAAAAUGGCUAGGGAUGUGGCUCAGUGGUAAAGCACCCUUGGGUUCUAUCCCAGCCCUAAAAAAAAAAAAAAAAAAAAAAGAUCAAUCUCGACUUGCUUUUGUUCACCUGUUUUCUGCUAUCCUUUUUUCUACUAUCCUUUUUCUGCUCCAUUCCAGGGUACCACAUUGCAUUUAGACACCCUGCCUUUUGAAACUUGAUUUUAGUCAAAGAUUUUAAAUAAGUCACUAGUAAUACCAGAUUAUCUUCCAUUAUUGUAGUUCCUAAGUCUGCCCAGUCAAAGGCAUUGGAUUUGCCUCCUCCUUUAAAUUAUUCCUUGGUAUCUCUAUCUGGAUAUAAUCUCUUGCUCUGAAUUUUUAUAAAUUUUUUCCCUUUACUUCCCUCAUGCUUUAUUAAAGUACUUUUGCUGAUUUGUCAGUCCUUUCUAAGUGAUAAAUAAAAUCAGUCUUGGUACAUUGGUACAUCAUCUAUAGAGCUGAGUGAGAUCUGAACCCUACUUGAAACUAAAUCAAAGCCUCUUAAGUUUAUUCCACAUUGUUUUGUGAAGAUGAUAGGAUGAUAUCAGAUUAAUGACUUGAUCCAACCAGCACCUUUGGAGAAUUAAAACCAUAAAAUUAAGUUGUUAGUUAUUUGCAAUCACUGUGCUUCCCUAGAAGUUAAAGACUAGAGUUAGAUAUAGAGUCCUCCCUCAUUGUCUCUCAGCCUUAUAGAUUGAUACUAUUCUACUGUAGUUAUAGCUCUCAAAAAACAUUUGUCUCUUUAGUACAUACAGCUGUGAAGCUAAAAAGCAAAUUUGAAUAAUUUCUUUAAAUGAGUGUAUUUAAAACAUUGACUUUUCUAAAAUGAUCUCGUACUUCCUGCUCUAUUUAUGUCUUCAUAUUUUAUAACAUAGAUUAUGUCUUAGGUCUCCUUAAUUACACCUCCAAACUGCUAGUGAGUAGCAGGUGUAAAAUUGAGGGGUUGAGGGAAGAACUGUGAAUAAAUGUUACAUGGUAAAUUGUAUACUUAUACAUUAUAAGAGCUGGUAGCUACUUAUAUAGUGAGCUUGGGGUUUUGUUUUGUUUUAAGAGAAGAUGCCUUCGGAAUGAAUAAACAGCAAAUCUUUCAUUUGUGUAAAGUAAAAAUUAUAUAUUUUUGAAAUAUAUAUAUAUAUUUGAAUAUAAUUCUGUAAGGGGUUAAGUUAGGUAGUAUCCUAAGAGAAAACAAAACAAAAACAUGUUUCUACUAAAAGACUUAGACACAAAUGUUCCUAGCAAUUUUAUUCAUACUAGCUAAAAAAGUAAAAUCAUCCUAAAUCAAUGCACACAGUCUGGUGACCAGUUAUACAAAUUAUGAUAUAUUCAGAUGAUAGAAUACUAUGGAUGGAUGCAUCUUCAAAAUAUUAUGCUAAGUAAAAGAAGUAAGGAACAAUACAUACUGUGUAUUUACUUGUAUUUUAUUUUGCUGUAGCACAAGCAAAACCAGUGAUGAGUGUAAUAAUAUUGGGGGUUGCCUAGGGACCGGGUGGGUUGACUACUGAAUGGCAAGGAACACAGGAAACUCUGGAUGGUAGAAGUGUUCUCUAUCCUGAUUAAAAUGGUGGCUAUAUAGGUUAUACAUUUGUCAAUAUUUAUCACUUAAAAUUAGUACAUUUCAUUCUAUGUAAAUUAUACCUCAAAAAAUUGAUUUAGGAGGCUGGGGUUGUAGCUCAGCAGUAGAAUGCUCGCCAGCACGUGCAAGGCCCUGGGUUCGAUUCUCAGCACCACAUAAAAUAAAUAAAUUAAAUAAAGGUAUUGUGUCCAAUUACAACUAAAAAAUAUUUUUUUAAAAUUGACUUAGGUUAAAAAUAUUAAAAAAUAUUUUGUGACUUUGAUAUUAAGAGAAAAGAAUCCAAGAUUUCUAUAUUAAAAUGCAGAGAUACAUGGGAACAGAAACAAUGAAUUUGGCAAGGGCAGACCUAAUUGUAAUGAUAAAUUUCAAGACUUUUGCAUUUGAUUAGAUAAAUUGGGUUAUCUGACAUCAAAAUAAAAGAGGCCUUCUGUAUUUAGCAUGAAAUUUGAAGUCAUAAUUUUAAUUUCUAUUUUUGAGUAUUUAAGUUAUUUCUCUGAAGAGAAAUGCUAGUAAAAUUGUGGAAAACAAAUACAGCUAAUGUCUGAUUUUCAUUGAUGAGCUGUAGAUCUAGUUUUUGGAAAUUAUUCAGCAGACAUAAAAACGUCCUGAGUCUUUGUCCUCUAGCACUGAAGACAAAUUUUAUGUAUCUUUUAAAGUGGUUGUUUUUGAUGUGGUUGUUAUGUACGUGCAUUCAGGUAAAAAUAGGUAAUUAAAUGAUACCUAUUUUAUAGGCUUUAAUUGGCCUAUAUAUUUUUAAAGUAUUUUUUUAGUUGUAGAUGGACACAAUACCUUUAUUUAUUAUGUGGUGCUGAGGAUCAAACCCAGUGCCUCACAUGUGCAAGGCACGUGCUCUACCAGCGUCAUGGUCUGCUUAUUGAUAUACAUUUUUUUUCUUGUUUCUCCUGUAGCACAGUUGACUACUAGUUUGGUCCCUGAGGCAGAGGUCCUAUAGGGAUCACAUAGCAGAGUUUGCUGUGUAUAUUCCUUACUGGACAGUAAGGGUAGGUAGGAUCACUCAAUUUACAGUGGAAGUCAGUGGCAAAAUGAAGUUCAUAGGUAGAAAUUUACCAUAUAAAACACGUACAUUCUCUCUUCUAUCUGAGUAUGUAAAUACACAGAUAAAUAUGUAACAUAGUAGUUUAGGACAGGCCUGAAGAAUGAAAUUAGUAAAGAUCUUAGAGAUACUGUAUUUCAGCCUAGACUCUGAAAAGUAUAUUAGUAAUUCCUGUAUAACUCUUUUUACUCUUUAUUUUCCAUGGUGGGAUUGUGAAGUAUUUAGUAUAAAAAAUGAUUUAAAAAAAAAUAUGAGGCAGCAAAGUUACUAUAACUUUGGUUUUCAAGAAUUGAGUUUAAUUUUUACCUGACUGUUUAAGAGCAAGAUUGGUAUGAUGACAUAUAAUUAAUGUGACAGUAAUUCCUCACUUUGUCAUAAUCUGUUUGCUACAGACACAAAGUACUGUGAAUAUGUCUUAAAGAUAAUACAGCUGAGCUAAAAGAAUAAGUAAUGAUGAAGCAGUAUUUAUAUAAUUUUCAAAUUAUAAGCAGAAUAAAUAAUAAAUCUGAAAUUCAUCUUAAGGAAACCAAUACCAAAAAAUAUUUAUACAUGCUAUGUGAAAAAAUAGAUUGCUCACAAAGAAGCACCAAGUAUACCUUAGCAACAGUUGAGCCUAAAAGAUAACAGAGUGACAUCUUCCAAAAGCCAAGGAGAAAUAACUGCCAACUUAGAAUGUUAUGUUUAGUUAAAACUAACAUCAGGUAUGAGAUAAAAAUAAAGACAUUUACAUAUAUACAAAGACUUAAGAAAGUUUAUGCCUCAUAAACCCAUUCUUAGAGACAUAUUAACAACUUGGAGGGAAAAUGUGAUACAUAUAAAAUAGUGGUGAGCCAAAAAAAAUGAGAAAAUGUCAUUAAAUUUGUUAGCCAUUGCAUAUAAAAAUAAUGAUGUUGACAACUAACUUAUUAUAUUAAAAUGAGAAAGGUCAAAAAAGAAGACUCCUGACAGUUGAGGAGAAGGUGAUAUGUCUUUGUUCAAGGAGUAAAGUAUACUAAGUUACAUGUUUAAGAAGAGGAUAGAUAUUGCACAUAAAUUUGGUCUUUAAUAGAAAAUGUUAUAGUGAAGUAAGUAUGUUCAGUAGCUAGAAUAUAAUUAUCUAAAAUGUCCAAAUAAGCAGAGAACAGAAGGGAAUAUAUUAAUCCAAAUGAAGAUAGGAAAAGUAGAGGAGGAUGUCAAAGGAAAAGUAUGGUAAACUGAAAACAUGUAAAAAUAAUUAUAACAACAAUCAACAUUGUUUUAGAUACCAAUAUGAACACUUUACAUUUAUUUAUUCUUUCUACACUAAUAUCCCUCUGAAGUGUAGGUACUGUUAUUAUCCUCAUUUUAUAAAUGAGAAAAUUAAGGUACAAGGAAAUUGGCCAAUGUCACACAAUUAAUUACUGAUCAAGCCAGAAUUUGAGCCUGGGUAUUCUGGCACAAGACUAGUUCAAAAUAAGUACACUAUAUAAUUUAAUACAGUAAAUGUAAGCAAAUUAAGCUAACCUAUAAAACUUCAAAGAUUAUUCAAAUGGGAAAACAAAAUUUAGCUGUAUAAUACUUUCAAGAGGCAUACCCAAUGCAAAAUCACACAGGAAGUUUGCAAAUUACAGGGAUGGAAAAAGAGAUACCCAAUGGUAUUAACCAAAGAAAAUUAGUACUAUGAUAUGGUUAUCAGACAAGAUAGAAUUUAGGGGGAGAAAUAAAGUAUUAGAAGGUCUGUUAUAUAAUCUUUCAAAGAAACAGUUCACCAAGAUGAAAUGCUAUUCAUGAGCUUCUCUUGCCUGAUUGGCUGAAGUUUCAAGGAGUAUGUUGAAUAUGAGUGGUGAGUGGGCAUCCUUCUCUUGGUCCUGUUUUUAGAGGAAAUACUUUAAGUUUUUCUCUGUUUAGUAUGAUGAUGGCCUUGGGUUUGUCAUAUAUAGCCAAUAUAAUGUUAAAGUAAGUUCCUUCUAUCUUUAGCUUCUGUAGUGUUUUAAAGAUAAUGGGCAUUAGGCUUUGUCAAAUGUUUUUUCUGUGUCUAUUGAGAUAAUCAUGUGAUUCUUGUCCAUAACUCUAUGUGGUAAAUUAUAUUUAUUGAUUUGCAUAUGUUGAACCAACCUUGCAUGACUGGUAUGAGAACAACUUGAUCUUGGUGCAGUAUCCUUUUAAUGUGUUUUUCUGUGUGAUUUGCCAAUAUUUUAUUAAGACUUUUAUAUUUAUCAAGGAUAUUGGCCAGAAGUUUGCUUUCCUUAAUGUGUUGUUGUCUGGUGGGAAUUUUUUAAAUUGAGGGAAUCUUUUAAACAUACUCCUUAAUAAUUAAUGAAUUAAAAAGGAAAUUAUAAUAGAAGUUAUAAAAUAUUUAGGACUCAAAGAUAUGAAUGUACUGUAUACUAAAAUAUACAAGCUAUAGUUAAAGGGUUAGAGCUAAAUUUAUAGCCUUAAAACCACUUAACUGAAAAAUACACAUUAAAAAAAUCAAACUUCGAACUUGGAGAAAAUUAAAUAACAAUACAGACAGCUUGAGGAAAAUGAAGAAAAGAAAUCAAAAGAAGAAAUUAAUGAAAUAGGAAGCAACCAACAAUUCCAAAUGCUGAUUCUUAAAGAUUUAAUUUUAAAACUAGUAAAAUAAAUGGCAUCUAGCACGACUGAGAAGAAAAGAGAAAAAGUAAAGACAAUAUGCAGUGUUCAAACUCAUGAUGUCUUACUCAUUGUGUCCUUAACUAUAUUAUGUCGACUCUCAGAAAAUACCAUGGAUGACUUUAGGACAGUAAAUGCAACAGUUAGGCAAAAAUGUGAAAAAGAAUAAUUUUCUAGAAAAAUUUUAACCAAAAUAAAAUCAAGAAAAUUCACAUAGCCUAUAUUCAUUCAAGAAACUGAAAUAGUGAUCAAAAAUCCUUCUUUCCCCUUCUUUUCUCUACUAAGACAUUUAUGCCUAGAAAAUAUACAGGAAAGUCUUACCAUACCAUAUAAAAUAGGUUACCCCAAUAUUAUAUAACCUAUUUUAGAAAAUAAAAAAAGAGAUAUCUAGGCAAUUUAUUUUAUGAGACUAAUAUGAAAUAUGGACAUGGGUAAUCUAGAAAAUUUUAAGGGAAAUUAUAGUCCCAAAGAACACAGAUGAAAAUAUCCUAAGUAAAUGAAAAAUUUUUUCCAGUGUAUAUUAGUAUAAUUCUCCAUAUUAAAAUAUUAGAAGGGAACUGGGGUUGUGGCUCAGCGAUAGAGCUCCCGCCUUGCACAUGCAAGGCCCUGGGUUCGAUCCUCAGCACCACAUAAAAAUAAAUAAAUAAAUAAAUAAAUAAAUCGAGUUUUAAAAAUAAAAAAAUAAAUAAAUAAAGUAUUAUAAGAUUAAAGGGAGAAAAAACUGCAUAGCUGUUUAAUAGAUGAUACUUAAAACUAUUGAUAAGGUUUUGUAAUUAAAAAUAAAAGGCCUUUUAAACAAAAUAGAAUUUUUUUCAACUAAUAAAGAAAAUAUAACAAAAACCUAGAGUGAACAGUCAUAUUUAAAUAUAAACUUUAGAAGCCUUCCCACUAAUAUCAGAAUGUCUGCUAACCCAGUUUGUAUUAAACAGUUUGCUAGAGAAGUUAGGCACUGGAAUAACACAAGGAAAAGAAAUUAGGAGUUAGAAGAGAUAAGAUCUAUAAUGAGAAUAACCCAUCUGUGUUUUGCAGGCAAUUCCUAUGAAAUUAUGGCCUACUCUUCCAACUCAAGAGUUGAAUGCAAACUUAACAUUUAAAAAGGUCAAAUUCAAUUGUAGUCAAUGGUGUCUCUAUCUCAUUUAGGUUCGCUAACUAGUAAUAAUAAACAGUGGUCUUCUAGAAUGCUGGAAGAACUUCCUUUUCAUCUAGCAAUUAUGUUCAUGUAUUAUAAAAUUAAACCAAUUAAGUUACUUUCAUCAUCAACAAGUAGCUAUGGAUUUUAAGAGUUUCUGUUAAGAAAAAAUAUAUUCUAUACCAACUGACUCUUAGUUCUGAUUACUUUUUUUUUUUUAAGAAUAUCAAUGGUUGUGGAUGGACACAAUAUCUUUAUUCAUUUAUUUAUUUUUAUGUAGUGCUGAGGAUCGAACAAGUGCUCUACCACGGAACUAUAGCCCCAGCCCUCAAUGGUCAUUCUUUUUUUUUAGAGAGAGAGAGAAUUUUAAUAUCCAUUUUUCAGUUUUCGGCGGACACAACAUCUUUGUAUGUGGUGCUGAGGAUCGAACCCGGGCCGCACGCAUGCCAGGCAAGCACACCACCACCUGAGCCACAUCCCCAGCCCCUCUAAUUACUUUUUUAGGCAAAAAUCGAGCAAAGUAAACAUGGUAUGAAAAAAAAAUAGAUGGAAGAAUUGUGUGUGUAUGAUAGUAAGAUCCCUUAAACUUGUUUUCCGAUUUAGGGUUGCUGUAGUCUAAAUUUAAAUCACAUUUUGGAUCCUGUCCAAGGGCUUUGAAGUACAAACUCAUCAGCCAAACUUAAUCCUAGCUUUAAAGCCCAAGGUAAUGUUGCAGACCCAUGGUGUACUUUAGUCAUAGGCAUUAUUUACUGGUAACCUGACAGGGUGGGUGGCAUGUACUCUUCUGUGCCACUCACCCCCCUACCUCUCAACAAUCCUAUUUUAUGAUGAGUGUUCCCAUUUUAUGGUUUGUUUAUCUUUACUCUUCUCUUAGGAAACUAGGUGGGGUUUUUGUUUGUUUGUUUCUGAAUGGAUUGAAAAAUAAUUGGGGAAAAGAAGCCACAGAAAGUUUAGAGAUAUUUCUGUUUGGGAAUAAAAAUUCACAUUCUAGUUAAAUUGUCUUUGUGUUAUUUUUACGUUGUUUAUAUAUUUAAAUGGUUUGGGUUUUCUCACAAAUCCUUCAUUGUCCAAAACAUGGCUUUCAUAAAAUCUUUAGCAUUCUCUUCUAUCCUGUAUAUUCUAGUUCUGUUAUUUUUCUCUUCCAGCUCUUUGAUGAGAGACUAUAGAGGCUAAUACUUUGAAGAGUGUUCUGGACUAACUUACUAGACAGGCCAUGAUCUCACCUGAACUCAAUUUCAGUGUGACAACUUGAUAGGACAGGACAGGUGGCUAUUCUGCUGACCAGCAUUUGAUUGGGGAGGGUGGAAGUUAAAGAUGGGUGGAUAUGUCUGAUGACAAAAUAAGCAAUUCCUUGAAUAGGAGUAUGCAGAAUAAAAUAGGGACAAGCCGCUGGUGGGUCUAAGCUAUAUCUUGUUUCUUUCUCAGCUAUGAGAUUUGCUGUGGCUAUCUUUUCACAGAAGCCAGCUAGGACAGCCCUUUAACUGCCACAACCCAUUGGUUUUUGUAGAAGGCACUUGUUGCUAUCUUUUGAGUUUGUUCGGUCUCAUUUUUAUGUAUGGCUUUAUGUUUCUUUGGUGGUAAAACACGAUAUUCAAAGGCACAAUAUAUAAGAAAUGACCUUUUCUUGGAGAACAUCUCAGGUCCUAUUUCCACAAUGUUAUUUAAUCUAAACUCUAAUAUGUUAUUUUUAAUUAAUUUUAUGGUACUAAGGAAUUGAACCCAAGAGGCUCUUUACCACUGAACUUCUAUUUUGAGACAGGGUCUAACUGAGUUGCCCAGACUGACUGAAUUUGCAAUCCUGCCUCACCCUACUCAGUAACUGAGAUUAUAGGCAUAUAUCACCAUGUCUGGCUAAUCCUCUAAAGUUUUAAAUUUCUGUGAUAUCUUCUGUUGCCACUUCAGGUUUCAUUACUGAAAGUUCAUUCUAUGUUGUGAAGAGAAGCAGCAUUUCUCAGGAAAAAAACAACACCUAAUAUAGGGAGGUAUAUAUGUACGUGUAUACACACACACACACACACACCUUACUUCAAGCAGACCUGCUAGUUUUAGCUUUCCUAUGCAAUACAUUGGAUUUAAUCUACUUGAUCCAAACCUUUAAGAAACAUGUCCUGAUUUAAUUACUGAAACUUACCUUCUAAUUGUUGUAGUUCUACAAUAGAUAUAGUUAAAUUCACUAUAACUAACAUUCCUUAGGCUAGUUUAAAGAUAUUUUUUUAGCAUUUGAGGGAAAAGUAAGAAAGACAAACUAUAGGUAGGAUCAUGAAGAUAUGGAACCACAGGAAAAACCUGGGAAUGCAACUUGGAGUCAUGCUUAUUCUAUAUCCUUAGGAAAUUGAGGUUGUACAAGAAAAGAAAACUAUUUUUCUUUAUCUUUUGGUAACUUUGCUUUGACACCUCUUUCCCUAGAAAUUUUCCCACAGAAAUUCUAGGACUGACUUUCAUUUGUAUAACUUGGAUGCAUUCCCGUCUCUGAACUGAUUAUUAUAAAUUACUGUUAGAUUUUUCUUACCCAUCUCUGAAUCUUAGGGGAGGGGUUAGCUGUUACUCAUAUGAACUGGAAAUAAGGGAAGAAAAUUGGGGUGGUGUUAGCAUUUGAAGAGAAAGGAAUGUUGGACAAUUAAAAAUAUCAAAUGUCCACUUUCUCUGUUCCCAAAGCUGCUUAGUUGGAAAGGGCUGUCCUUCAACCAAAAAUGCACUAGUAACUGGGUUCUCCUGCUGGACCUUCCACUGUGGGAGCCUAACCCCUCCCCACAAUGCCUCUGUUCUACCACAGAUACCUGUUUCCCAAGUUUACACUGUGCUGGACUGAAUUUGUAGACAUGAAGGUCAAUGUGCCCUGUGAAACCAUCGAAUACAUUGAAGCCAACUAUGGUAAGACCUGGAAGAUUCCUAUAAAAAUAUGGGACUGGAAGAACUCUCCCCCCAAUGUGCAGUCCAAUGGAAUCUGGCCUAUUUCUGAGUGGGAUGAGGUCAUCCAGUUGUACUGAAAUAAUAAGUUGAAAUAGGAGAAGCUUUCUCCUGAAAAAAAAUGUUGGUAACUGUUUAAAAGACUACAUGUCUAUUUGUCAAACAUAAGCAGGAUCCAAAGGAAAAACAUGACAAGUUUUAAGACUGAAAGAAUCCUAACUCUUGAGCCAUCUGAUUUAAUUAUCUCAUUCAGCAUUCACUUAGUUUCUGUGUGUCAGAUAAAAUACUAGGUUACAGUGGAGAAGCAGAGACAAAUGAUCAAAUGUCUGCAUUGUUCCUGUCCCUUUGGUAAGCACCCCAGUUUUCCUUUGAUGGAAAUUUUCCACCUUUUGAAGAGCUGAAGUAGAAUAUAAUAUAUCCUAUAAUUUUUUUUUAAAUGUUAAGUAAUUCUUAGACUGGAAGAUGAGCUUAUCAGGCAAAGCUAAUGAAUGGUAUAUUCAUGAAAAAGAACAAUGUAUUCCUGUUCUUAGUGUUGAAGCUUGUGUAAUAGUGCUACCUUUAAGAAUGUGGCAUCUGAGUUAAUUUUCAAGUGAUCAGACUUUAGGUAGCAUCAAGAAAAGAUUGUUGCAGACUCAUUUGACAAGCCAUAUGAUGCAAAUUGAUUUAGAGCAUAGGGUAUUAUUCUAUAAGGGAAGGUGGGAGCUCAUUUUGAGUUUUGUCAAGUUAAUUUCAUAUAUUUACUAUUUUCAUAUUUGAAGUGAGAAGAAAGUUGAUGCUUUUGUGAUACUUAAAUUUUCAACUAUGGUGAGAAUAUUUUCAUUGACCCUUGAUGCACUUGUUGGUAUAUUAUUCAAGCAAGACCAUGCUACCAGACAUGAUUUUGAAGAGAUGUGAUUUUACAAAACUCACUUUCCUAUUUCACUCUCAAACACUGUCUUAGGUAAAAAUAUGAGCUAUUCAUUGACAUCUUCUAUUUUCUCAGUUUAUAACCCUUGCAUUUCCAAAUUAGUGUUGACCCUAAGAUAUUAAUAGAAAUACCUCUAAUUUUUCUAAAUAUACCCUUCAUUGUAUUUACUCAUCAGUCACGGCUCCUUAUCUUUAAUUUAUACACAAUAAACUAAUUUAAGUGGCAAAAAGCUGUUCUUUUUCUCUUCUAAAACUACUUCAGAUCUCCAAAAUGAAAGGUAAAUAAUGAACCUGACAACUAUUCCCCAUCCUAGACUAUACUGUUUAUAAAGCUGUGUCUCUCUCUCAUUGUUCAAUCUGUGGAGUAUCUAUGGGUCAAGAACUCAGACUUCUCUGCUUUCUCAAGUACCAUCUACUCUGGAACCCUUCAUUCCCCUGCCCAUCUCAAGGUAUACCCCUGAGUGGGCUGGGAUGACUUCCCUAUCUCUUUACUAGUAGUCACUUGAAUGAUGUAUUCUCAUUGAGUGAUAAAGGGAAAUGCAGGUACAGUGAGCCUCGGGAAAAGAAGCUAAGUCUUAUAUCUUAUCUGUGCUACUUAAAACUGUCUUGGGCUGACAUGGUAGACUUUUUUCUGUAACAAGAAUAACAAGUUCUUAAUUUGAAAAACAACAUGAAGAUUUUCUUUGAUGGAUGGUAACCAACAUUCUAUCUCUCCUAGGAUGCAUUCUCAAUGUAAAAUCAUUGGGUCUUUUCAUAAAUAAACAGGUUUUCAGGGAUCUUUAUAGAUUACCAGCAGUACCCAAAUGACAGGUCAUCGUAAUCAUCUUUCUCUUUGUUAGAAAAUCAGCCCAUAGACUAUAAACCAAGUUUUAAAUAUCCAACUCUAAUUUCAUUUUUCACACCCCAAAACAAUAUAAGAGAUAAUAAUUGUGUUCUUGGGUAAAAUCCACUCCACUUAGAGUGCUGUUUCCUUGUGCUUGGCAUCUGGAACUCCAUAUUCUUCACAUUCCUGCCUAAAUUGGGGUUUCCAAAUGUUUGCCAGGAAAUCCUUCCCAACAAGUUCAUGUUGUUUCUCUUGUAUCUGUCUCAGGAGUAUGAGAUCUGGAAAUGUGAAAAAAAAAAAAAAAGAUAUCUUAGUCCAGUUGGUAAAUAUUCCAUAUUCUUCCUUACAUAGAUCAAGGCUGCUGAGAUACCUUGUCUUCCUUCUGGUUUUACAGGCAGCUUUAGCUCUUGGGCUCCAUUCUAAUUUGGAGAAAUGAAAGCCUUUCCCCAGAAUAUGAAGAGACCUGAACUUACUUCUGAUACUGAUUCAGCCUUACUUCAGCCUGUGCUUCUUAACAUUUGAACUUGGCUGAGUGUUCGGAGACCCUGAGUUAAGUGUAUCCCCCAUCAAUAUCUCAUCAGAUCACUUUUCUUUCCUUACUUAAGUAUUCCAGCAGUCAUUUUCCUAAUCUGAUCAUUUUCAGUUCCAGUUUGCCUGGUUUACCUGAAGAGGACCUCUUAUAUUAACUUAUUGGUAUUUAAACACUGUGAAUGUUUCCAGAACGAUCCUGAGAAGCAAGAACAGUCAACUGAGUUGCAAGUUGACAAUCAGUCCACUGAGAAAGCCUUUCAGUCCUUCUCUAAGCUUGAGCAUUUAUCCUUAUCCUCUGUCUACUCCAACAACUGAUUCCUGGCCCCUGGAAUAAAAUAGUAGUUCCCCAAACUCAGUAUUCCUAAGAAUAGCUGAGCAGUGAGAAUGCAGGUUUCCCUGAUUCCCUAGCUACAAACCCUGAAAAGUGAACACUAGGUAAUAAAAUACAUGCCAGCAUCCCCCCCAAAUAACUUAACAUUUAAGUGAAAAUCAUCCUGCUCUUGAAUCUUUAAAGCCAAAAGGAGCUUUAGUGCAAUAUUCAUUGUAACUCUCUUAUUUUGUAACUAGUAAAUAAAUAUUUUGAGCAAGAAACAGCUGAAGCUAAAACACAAGAGUGCCAUGACAUCCAGUCCAGUGUUUCUUUCAUUACUUACAUCCCCGCACAACAUCUUUGACCCUCUCAAAAUGCUUGACAGAGGAAUUACCCAGUGUUCAAUGAUACAGUUUCAGGGUUUUUUUUUUUUUGCCAUUCCCCACUUAAUAUCUUUUUGCUCGGGUUGAAACCCCAAGGUGACAAAGAGAUUAGGGAAGGAAUGUUUCUUUGUUGUCCAGAAUUUUUAGGCUACCUUCUUUAUCUGAAAAAAAAACCUUGUCUCCCAAAAAUAAAAUUGUUCAUACCUGGAAAUACCAGCCUUUGGUACCUGAUUCUCCAGAGCUCAAGAUGUAUUCCAGGGGCUGGGGAUGUGGCUCAAGCGGUAGCGCGCUCACCUGUCAUGCGUGCGGCCCGGGUUCGAUCCUCAGCACCACAUACAAACAAAGAUGUUGUGUCUACCGAGAACUAAAAAAAUAAAUAAAUAUUUAAAAAAAAAAAAAAAAAAGAUGUAUUCCAUUGAUGCUUUACCCUUGUAUUUCCCCAGAGAACCAUCAGCACCAAUUUGCUAAGUGCCCCUCUUUGAAGAGUCCCUCCCCUUCAUGAAGCAGCCUUUCAUGUGGAUCUUUCUGUCUCAAGCCCUUUUCUUCCUGAAAGAUCUUUACCGUUCAAAGAGAACAAUAGUUAGAUGUAAACAGAGUACAUUGCAAUUUUCAGGACUUUUUUUUUUUUUCUGCUUGGCUGGAAAGGAAAUUGGAGUAUCUAGUUUCUUUCUGCUUUUGGUUAUUUAUAGUGAUAAUUUCUUAUGAAUGCAAGUAGUUAACAACAGACUGUGCUCAUUUCUUUUUAAAUUUGUGACUCCAAAUCAUUAUUUCUAUUCUUACACAACAACAAAGCCUCAAAUGCACAUAGGAUAGGCCGAAAACUGCAUAUCUCAGCAGGGGUUUAUAGAUUGAAUACCAAAGUUGAAUCUGAAAGACACACUUGGAAUAAGUUCUCAGCUCCAAUCUAAAAUGUCAUCUAAUAUCACAAGCCUAAGGCUACAAAUUUUUCUAAGUUUCCCCAAGUUUCACUUUCUAGAAAAUAAACAGCUACUUCAUCCUAAAUGUUGUAAAUCCCUAGGGGAAAUCUUAUCUCAAAAACAUAGUUAUGCAUUCCCUCCUUCUAACACAUUCAUAGUUGUAGCUGCUUAAAGGCAUGGAAAAACUCCAGUUACUGACUGAAAGAAUUUCUCUAAAGAAAUGACAUAGGAAAGACAGUAGAAUGAAUUGGACCUAACUUUCCUAUGUUCGUAUGUGAAUACACAACCAGUGAAACUCCACAUAGUGUACAACCACAAGAAUGGGAUCCUAAUUAGAAUAAAUUAUGUUCCAUGUAUGCAUGCUAUGUCAAAAUACACUGUACUGCCAUGUAUAUCUAAAAAGAACAAAUUUAAUAAAAAAAAAAAAAAAAAAAACGAAAGAAAACAAGGCUGGGGUUGUGGCUCAGUGGUAGAGACUUUGCCUAGCACAGGUGAGGCACUAGAUUUGAUCCUUAGCACCACAUAAAAACAAUAAAUAAAGUAAAGGUUAAAUUCUCUAAAAAGAGAAAGAGAACAUACCAAUUAUCACAUCAAAAAAAACAAAAAAGGCACAGUGACUUUCUUUACUUUCCUCCUCUUCCUCUAUUGUUAAAACCUGGGCUGGCUGGGUCACCUCUAACAUCUCUAUUAUGGAAGGUAACAUGUUAGUAUAAAAAAGACCACAAGUGGGCUGGGUCUGGGGCUCAGUGGAAGCACACUUGCCUGGCAUGUGUGAGGCACUGGGUUCGAUUCUCAGCAUGGAAUAAAUAUAAAUAAAAUAAAGGUCUGUGAAAAACUAAAAAAAAAAAAAAAAAAGACCACAAGCUUUUGAGCACUGUAGGAGUUUGAAUCCCAUUUUAUUAUGUGGGAUUUAUAGUAUGGAGAUGGGGGGCUCUCAGCCUCUGUUUACAUGAGUCAAUUGGGGGAAAUGAUGCCUAAUUCUAAGGGAUUUUAGAAAGAGUCCAUGAAAUGUGUAAACCUAGGAUUAAGUAAAUAUUCAAGAAAUGUGCCACUUCCUAGUUCCAUGUUGUUUUUUGUAAUUAUUCAAAUGGGAUUACAGAAAUUGUAGGUCAGGAUAAAAUGCCCUACUCAGAAGAUAAAUAACUGAUUUGCUUAAGAAAAAAAUUAUUUUAUCCACUCAUUGCAUGUCAAAUUGUAUAGUUUUAUGAAAUUCAAAGACAUUACCACAUUGACUCUUUUCUAAAUAGAACUUGUAUUAUCAUUUUGUUGAUCAAGCUGUUGUCUCUUAAUACUAUCUCUUAUGAAAUUAGUUUCUUGAUCCCAAGUAGUUCUUUGAUUUAGUGUCUGCUCUCACCUGAACUCAUUUUUCAAUAUUCUAGCUUUACCCAGAGGAUUUUGGAAAAUGAAAGAAUUUGGAAUACUUAGUUUUAAUUAAUUAUCUGUGUUUUGAUAUGGGUGUAACUCACUGACAGAACACUUGGCUAGAGCAUGUAUGCAGUUUUAGGUUCAAUUCCCAGAACCACCAGAGGUGGGGAGAUGAUCUAUGCCUUUUUAUUGUCAGAGAAUUGAAAAUACUCGUGUCCACUGUCCCAAAAUUUGUUUCUAUCUCAACUAGCAAGAAUCAGCAAGGUAUGAGAUACCAUUUUAAGCUACUCACCAUCAGACUGGAAUCAAUUAUAAUUUAUAAGUGAAGCAGAUCAAUUUAUUUGUGAUACCUUUGUAUAAAAAUCAAAAAGGCAAGUACAAAUUUUCUAAUGAGAAAUCUGUUUCUGAACUUUCAAUUCAUAGCCUAGAAUUCCCACCACUCCCAUAACUCCUGAACCCAAUGGAGUGUAGGUAAAAAAAAGCCUUUAGCCCACCAAGCUUCCAUAUACUCAUAAGCAUCUCCCACAAAAGUGUUGAAAAGGGGCUAUAAAGAGAACUAGAAGUAUAGUAUUUUGUUGUAUAAAAUAAGGUACUCACACGCCUUUUAAAAAAUUAAAGAUCUUACAUCUUUCUAAUGAUUUAUUCUGAGCAUGGAGAUACUUCAUGUGUUUGUUAUUUGAAAAUCAUGUAGCUCUUUGUGUGUUCCUUCCAAUUCAUAACUAUAAAACAUGUAUAGGAAUUUUUAAACAUGAGUAGAUUUCAGGGUAUGCUUACCUGUUUACUAUUUGGUUUUAUCUUCAGGUAUAGAUACUUUGUGGUACUACUGAAAAUACCUUUAAUAAUAUUAUUUUGACCAAAAUUUGUAAUAUAUAAUUUACUUUGAAGUGAUGAAUAAAAUUUUUUCUAAUCUCUUGAGAUA
rnacentral:lncRNA from 1 species